rnacentral:lncRNA from 10 species
GCUUAAAUCAUCUUUAUUCAGCUCAGGAGUGGGGUGGCUGGAAGCAUAAGCUUCAGGUCCAGGAAGAUGGGUUUGGAUCCAGCCUCUGCCACUUGCUCUCUGGAAUAAUACUCAAAACAUUUAACUCCUCCAAGCUUCAGUGUCCUUAUAAAAAAUGAGGAAACAAUACUGGUCCCGUGACAUUGUGUAAAGAUUGAAUAGUACAUAAUAUGCUGUAUUAGAAGUGCUUGUCAAGUUACUCGGGUCACAUCUGAAGGCGGCUCUAGGUCACCCUAGAGGCCUAGGCUGGCUGUCUUCAGGUCAGGGGGCUGAGUUGCCAUUCAAAGACUCAAAGGAGUGAAUCGUACACAUCAAUCAUGGGGUUGGCUUGGCCACCACCCUGCUGGAACACUACCUGGCCUUCUAACCUCAUGGAGAGCCUGACCAGGCCUGCCACAGAGACCUCAGAGUGCCAGAGAAUCUCCACUGUGUCCUUAGCUCUGCACAGUCAGGGCUUCCCCGAAGUCUGCCUCUCUCUGUCAUUAUGCUUGGCCAGGAUUGCUCAUCCUGAUGGCACUGGG